UACGAAGGGUGCAAGCGUUACUCGGAAUUACUGGGCGUAAAGGGCGCGUAGGCGGCAAUUCAAGUCAUCUGUGAAAUCUCCGGGCUUAACUCGGAACGGUCAGAUGAUACUGCUUUGCUAGAGUGGCGGAAGGGGCAAUCGGAAUUCUCGGUGUAGCGGUGAAAUGCGCAGAUAUCAGGAAGAACACCCGGUGGCUAAGGCGGUUCUCUAGUACGGUACUGACGCCUGGAGACGCGAAAGC
rnacentral:rRNA from 1 species